rnacentral:rRNA from 1 species
CUGACGAGUGGCGCACGGGUGCGUAACGCGUAUGCAACCUACCUUUAACUGGGGAAUAGCCCCGAGAAAUCGGGAUUAAUACUCCAUAACACUGCGAAGUGGCAUCACUUUGCAUUUAAAGCUCCGGCGGUUAAAGAUGGGCAUGCGUGACAUUAGCUAGUUGGUGAGGUAACGGCUCACCAAGGCUACGAUGUCUAGGGGUUCUGAGAGGAUGAUCCCCCACACUGGUACUGAGACACGGACCAGACUCC